rfam:Chlorocebus sabaeus isolate 1994-021 chromosome 25, whole genome shotgun sequence.
GCCAGGCAGUGACACGUGCCUGUAGCCCCAGCUACUCAGAAGGCUGAGUCAGGUGGAUCACUUGAGCCCAGGAGUUCUGGGCUGUAGUGUGCUAUGCCCCUUGGGUGUCCUACACUAAAUUCAGCAUCAAUAUGGUGAUCUCCCAGGAGCUGGGGACCACCAGGUUGCCUAAAGGGUGAACCAGCCCAGGUUGGAAAUGGAGCAGGUCAAAGCUCCUGGGCUGAUCAGUAGUGGGAUCAUGCCUGUGAAUAGCCGCUACACUCUAGCUUGGGCAACACACACCCCAUCUCUA